UCUCCCCUCUCUUCUCUCUAUCCGCUAUGGCUCUACAAGUCUGGGAGACGCUGAAGGAGGCGAUCGUGGCCUACACAGGCCUCUCUCCCUCCACCUUCUUCACAGUCUUGGCUCUUGGAUUGGCCAUUUACUAUCUCAUUUCAAGUUUCUUCGCCCCCUCUGACUACGGAACCCACACUAGGGAUUUGGGAGAGCAGCUCCAGCCUCUUCCUCCUCCUGUCCAAGUCGGUGAAAUUUCUGAAGAUGAGUUGAAGCAAUACGAUGGCUCCGAUCCCAAGAAGCCUCUUCUCAUGGCUAUCAAGGGCCAGAUCUACGAUGUUUCUCAGAGCAGGAUGUUCUAUGGACCCGGGGGGCCCUAUGCCCUUUUUGCUGGAAAGGAUGCUAGCAGAGCUCUUGCAAAAAUGUCUUUUGAAGAAAAAGAUCUAACUGGGGAUAUCUCUGGUCUCGGUCCAUUCGAACUCGAAGCCUUGCAGGAUUGGGAAUACAAAUUCAUGAGUAAAUAUGUUAAAGUUGGGACCGUCAAGAAGUCAGUUGCUGAAGGUGAUGCUGCAGCUGGUGAGCCUGCAGAAUCAAGCACUGCUGAAGUUAGCAAACCUGCCCAAGACAGUCACUCGGAAUCUCGAGAUGAUAAAGCUGAGGAAACCCCUGCUGCUGCAAAUGUCGAUUAAUAUUCUUCGGACUGCAGAUGCCCCUUCGGAUGGAUAUAGGAAAGGAGAACAAUGUACGUGUGGUCCAUGUUUCAGUAAUCUUGUUUCAUAGAUAAGUGAAAUCUAGUUGUGUAGGGUGAUGAUAUUACAGGUGGAGUUGAGGCUUGAGUUUAUGUUUACUAUUUGUUCAAUAAACAAUCUGACAAUAAGAUAAUUAGUCUUUGAAUUUGGAAAUGGACUUGAUCUGAG
rnacentral:misc_RNA from 1 species